GUCCCCAUCGUCUAGAGGCCUAGGACAUCGCCCUUUCACGGCGGUAACACGGGUUCGAACCCCGUUGGGGGCAC
rnacentral:tRNA from 1 species